AAAAACAGAUAAGGGCAGACGGUGGAUGCCUUGGCUCUCGGAGGCGACGAAGGACGUGAUAAGCUGCGAUAAGCUACGGGGAUCGGCACAUACGAUUUGAUCCGUAGAUUUCCGAAUGGGGCAACCCGGCAUGUAGAAGACAUGUCACACUGCAGAGCAGUGAGCGAACGUGGGGAACUGAAACAUCUAAGUACCCAUAGGAGAAGAAAACAAAAGUGAUUCCCUUAGUAGUGGCGAGCGAACGGGGACUAGCCCAAACCAGAUUUGUUUCGGCAAAACUGGGGUUGUAGGACCUCGACAUAGGAAGACAAGAUUAGGAGAACGGUCUGGAAAGGCCGGCCAUAGAACAUGAGAGCUGUGUAUCCGAAAAUCUUCGUUGGACUUAGAGGUAUCCUGAGUAGCGCGGGACACGUGAAAUCCUGUGUGAAUCUGCGGGGCCCAUCCCGUAAGGCUAAAUACUCCCGAGAGACCGAUAGUGAACCAGUACCGUGAGGGAAAGGUGAAAAGAACCUCGAACAGAGGAGUGCAAUAGAUCCUGAACCCGUCUGCCUACAAGCGGUAGGAGCAGCUUCGAGCUGUGACUGCGUGCCUUUUGCAUAAUGAACCUACGAGUUACUUUCUCUGGCAAGGUUAAGUGAUGAAGAGUCACGUGAGCCGAAGCGAAAGCGAGUCUGAAUAGGGCGGUUUAGUCAGAGGGAGUAGACGCGAAACCAAGUGAUCUACCCUUGGUCAGGUUGAAGGUUGGGUAAAACCAACUGGAGGACCGCACCGGUAAGCGUUGAAAAGCUUUCGGAUGAACUGAGGGUAGGGGUGAAAGGCUAAUCAAACUUGGAGAUAGCUCGUACUCCCCGAAAUGCAUUUAGGUGCAGCCUGUGGAGUUUCUUACGUGAGGUAGAGCGACUGAUUGGAUGCGAGGCUUUCACCGGCUAUCAAGUCCAGACAAACUCCGAAUGCACGUUAAGUAAGAUCCACGGAGUGAGGGCAUGGGUGCUAAGGUCCAUGUCCGAGAGGAGAAGAAUCCAGACCAUCGGCUAAGGUCCCGAAAUAAUAGCUAAGUUGACCAAACGAAGUCAGAGUGCGAAGACAGCUAGGAUGUUGGCUUGGAAGCAGCCAUUCAUUUAAAGAGUGCGUAACAGCUCACUAGUCGAGUGCUUUGGCGUGGAUAAUAAUCGGGCAUAAGCUAUUUACCGAAGCUGUGGGAUGUGUAAACAUCGGUAGGGGAGCAUUCUAGCGGCGCAGAAGGUGAGAGGACAACUCUUGCUGGAGCUUCUAGAAAAGCAAAUGUAGGUAUAAGUAACGAUAAAGGAGGUGAGAAACCUCCUCGCCGAAAGACUAAGGUUUCCUGAUCAACGCUAAUCGGAUCAGGGUUAGUCGGGGCCUAAGGGGAAGCCGAACGGCGUACCCGAUGGAAGAACCGGUUAAUAUUCCGGUACUAAUUAUGUGAGCGAUGUGGAGACGGAGAUGUGACGGUCCUGCCAACUGACGGAAUAGUUGGUUGAAGGGUGUAGGAGUUGAUCUGAGUAGGCAAAUCCGCUCGGAGAUCCGAACCUGACAGUACUCUGAGUGCUUGCACAAGGAGAUAUGGACAACUGUAACGGUACUCCCAAGAAAAUCCGCUAAGCAUAUUGCAUGAUUACCCGUACCACAAACCGACACAGGUGGUUGGGUUGAGUAUACUAAGGCGCUCGAGUGAUUCGCGGUUAAGGAACUAGGCAAAAUAGUCCUGUAACUUCGGAAUAAAGGACGCUCACAGUGAAGGCUGUGAGCCGCAGAGAAUAGGCCCAGGCGACUGUUUAACAAAAACACAUGGCUAUGCUAAAUCGAAAGAUACUGUAUAUAGCCUGACACCUGCCCGGUGCUGGAAGGUUAAGAGGAGAUGUCAUCGCAAGAGAAGCAUUGAAUUGAAGCCCCAGUAAACGGCGGCCGUAACUAUAACGGUCCUAAGGUAGCGAAAUUCCUUGUCGGGU
rnacentral:rRNA from 1 species